rnacentral:rRNA from 1 species
UACAGAGGGGGCAAGCGUUGUUCGGAAUUACUGGGCGUAAAGGGCGCGUAGGCGGACAGUUUAGUCAGAGGUGAAAGCCCAGGGCUCAACCUUGGAACUGCCUUUGAUACUGGCUGUCUUGAAUCCGGGAGAGGGAUGCGGAAUUCCAGGUGUAGCGGUGAAAUGCGUAGAUAUCUGGAGGAACACCGGUGGCGAAGGCGCAUCCUGGACCGGCAUUGACGCUGAGGAGCGAAAGCCAGGGGAGCAAACGGG